UACAGAGGUCUCAAGCGUUUGUUCGGAUUCAUUGGGCGUAAAGGGUGUGUAGGUGGCGCCGUAAGUCGGGUGUGAAAUUUCGGAGCUUAACUCAAACUGCAUUCGAUACUGCGGUGCUUGAGGACUGGAGAGGAGACUGGAAUUCAUGGUGUAGCAGUGAAAUGCGUAGAGAUCAUGAGGAAGACCAGUGGCGAAGGCGGGUCUCUGGACAGUUCCUGACACUGAGACACGAAGGCCAGGGGGAGCAAACGGG
rnacentral:rRNA from 1 species